GACGAACGCUGGCGGCGUGCCUAAUACAUGCAAGUUGAGCGCUGAAGGUUGGUACUUGUACCGACUGGAUGAGCAGCGAACGGGUGAGUAACGCGUGGGGAAUCUGCCUUUGAGCGGGGGACAACAUUUGGAAACGAAUGCUAAUACCGCAUAAAAACUUUAAACACAAGUUUUAAGUUUGAAAGAUGCAAUUGCAUCACUCAAAGAUGAUCCCGCGUUGUAUUAGCUAGUUGGUGAGGUAAAGGCUCACCAAGGCGAUGAUACAUAGCCGACCUGAGAGGGUGAGCGGCCACAUUGGGACUGAGACACGGCCCAAACGCCUACGGGAGGCAGCAGUAGGGAAUCUUCGGCAAGGGACGAAAGUCUGACCGAGCAACGCCGAGUGAGUGAAGAAGGUUGUCGGAUCGUAAAACUCUGUUGGUAGAGAAGAACGUUGGUGAGAGUGGAAAGCUCAUCAAGUGACGGUAACUACCCAGAAAGGGACGGCUAACUACGUG
rnacentral:rRNA from 1 species